rnacentral:rRNA from 1 species
AGUGAACGCUGGCGGAAGGCCUAACACAUGCAAGUCGAACGGCAGCAGGCCUUGAGCUUGCUCUUACGGGCGGCGAGGGGCGGACGGCUUCGGAAUACAUCGAGAUGUACUUGUUCAUGGAGGAUAACGUAGGGAAAUUUACGCUAAUACCGCAUGCUACCUACGGGUGAAAGCAGAGGAUCUUCUGACCUCGCGCGUUUGAAUGAGCCGAUGUCGGAUUAGCUAGUUGGCGGGGUAAAGGCCCACCAAGGCGACGAUCCGUAGCUGGUCUGAGAGGAUGAUCAGCCACACUGGAACUGAGACACGGUCCAGACUCCUACGGGAGGCAGCAGUGGGGAAUAUUGGACAAUGGGCGCAAGCCUGAUCCAGCCAUACCGCGUGCGUGAAGAAGGCCUUCGGGUUGUAAAGCCCUUUUGUUGGGAAAGAAAAGCAGCAGGUUAAUACCCCGCUGUUCUGACGGUACCCAAAGAAUAAGCACCGGCUAACUUCGUG